rnacentral:misc_RNA from 1 species
GGGAGAACAACAAUUUUCAUAGAUUGCACCCUGUGCAACAUAACACACUCAAGCCUCCAUUUAUCAGUUUAUGUGAUGCGAUAUACCCUGCAAUAAUGUCUUUAUUAUCAAUUCCAAAACAAAACAUUUAUUUCAUUCCACCGUGUACUCAAUAAUUCAGUAUCGUUGUUGCAGUGUCAAAAAUCAAUAAUUCAAUCAUUUAUUUAAUAAGUUUCCAAAAAUGUACGAAAGGGAAAAAUAAAUUAAAA